rnacentral:snoRNA from 1 species
AGACAGUAUAACGCAAGUUCUUUCUCUCAUGGGCACCCUAUGUGUAGUGGAGCAAACAGCAGCCUCCUUGGUAGUGUAAGCCUGUUCCUUAGGCUGCCUUCAAGGAUCUUGGAGCUGGUG